AUUGAACGCUGGCGGCAGGCCUAACACAUGCAAGUCGAACGAGUGGCGGACGGGUGAGUAAUGUCUGGGAACCUGCCUGAUGGAGGGGGAUAACUACUGGAAACGGUAGCUAAUACCGCAUACCAUCGGAUGUGCCCAGAUGGGACUAGCUAGUAGGUGGGGUAAAGGCUCACCUACGCGACGAUCCCUAGCUGGUCUGAGAGGAUGACCAGCCACACGGGAACGGUGACACGGUGCGGACUCCGACGCGAGGCAGCGGUGGAGCAUAUGGCACAAUGGGCGCAAGGCUGAUACAGCGAUGCCGAGUGGAUGAGGGAGGGAUUCGGGUUGUAAAGUACUUUCGGCGGGGAGGCGUUACCUGGAGAAGAAGCACCGGCUAACUCCGUGCCAGCAGCCGCGGUAAUAC
rnacentral:rRNA from 1 species